AAUUAAAUAUGUGGAAUGAGUGAUUCUUCCCCGAGGGGAAGGAUUGAAAAGGGAAGCCAGUAUAAGCUGGCGCGGUGCCCGCCACUGUGGAAGGGAGUCAACUCACAGGGUGUCACUGGGUGUAUACCUGGGAAGACGUGCGUUGAUGAUGAACUUGAGUCAGGAGACCUGCUUGUUCCAAAUGCCGAGA
rnacentral:ncRNA from 2 species